CAGUUUCAGAUCUGAGAUAUUUGUUGGAAUACCCCUGAUGACACCCACAGACUCAGUGAAAUUCUUGGGAAUAUAUAUAUCGAUGUUUAAUUUUUUAAAUUCGUCGUUUAGAACCAUCUAAUUGGCUUCAUAAGGGCCACUGAAAUAAAGUUUAUACAGAUUGCAGCAAGAGGGGUUAUGCGGCUGAGACCAACAAGAUUGAUGUGUCUAAUAUUUUCAAAUAAGUAUAGGUCGCUUUUAAUAUUGUUGUUUUCGAACAAAUUGCUUCGUUUUGUCGAUAGAAGUACACUGGCUUCUCCUUUGAAUUAGUGCUCAUACAAAUAAAUCUCUCUUUGUUUCUUAUCGUCUGUUUGCACAUCUCUACCGACAUUUACAUUAGUAUUUUUGCUGCUGACGGAGACAGGAACAUUCUUGUCCAAAUCGUCCUCCAUUUUGUGUAAAUCUUUUUGAAUUAUUUUUUGUGUCUGAAACGGAUUCAGACAAACGCUUAGCGCCUGACGCCAACAGCUUAGCGUCAGCCAUCUUCACUGGUGGCUUCACCAACCUGCCAACGACUUACCCUCUUCGUCUAUUUAAAAAUAGCGCCAACAAUUUUUAAUAUCUUUCUUGUAAAAUUAUUAAAUUUCCUCUAUGCCGUGAAACAAAGAGAACAGCAGGUGGCAGGGAAAAAUGGUUAUCGAAGAUGGAGAGCCUGCUAAUAGACCUCUGGCUGGAGAAUAUUGAAGAUCUGCGUGGAUCCCGUAAAAACUUUCACGUCUACAUAGAGAUUGAACAGGUCAUGAAGGAGGCUGGGCUCGCGAUUGGAUGAUUAGAAUCUCUAACGAAAGUCGAAAAGCAUGAGCUGUUUAUUCAUGGAUGGUAGAUGCUGCCAAUGUGAACAAAAGUUUCACAUCUUUAAAAAAAUCCCAACGUUCCCCUUUGAUGGGCACAGUGUGCAGAGCCUAUUGUGUGCAUAUGUAUGUUGUCUACCACAUGGCACGUUGCACACCGGAGAGCUUGUUAUAGUCUGCCAAUUGGCGCCACACAAUCC